GAUGAACGCUAGCUACAGGCUUAACACAUGCAAGUCGCGGGGCAGCAUGGGGGUUGCUUGCAAUCCCCGAUGGCGACCGGCGCACGGGUGAGUAACGCGUAUCCAACCUGCCCUUCACCACGGGAUAACCCGGCGAAAGUCGGACUAAUACCGUAUGUUGUCCAUUGACGGCAUCCGAUUUGGACGAAAGGUUUGGCGGUGAAGGAUGGGGAUGCGUCCGAUUAGCUGGACGGCGGGGUGACGGCCGACCGUGGCGACGAUCGGUAGGGGUUCUGAGAGGAAGGUCCCCCACACUGGAACUGGGACACGGUCCAGACUCCUACGGGAGGCAGCAGUGAGGAAUAUUGGUCAAUGGGCGUAAGCCUGAACCAGCCAAGUAGCGUGCAGGAUGACGGCCCUAUGGGUUGUAAACUGCUUUUAUGCGGGGAUAAAGUGGCCCACGUGUGGGUUUUUGCAGGUACCGCAUGAAUAAGGACCGGCUAAUUCCGUG
rnacentral:rRNA from 1 species